rnacentral:lncRNA from 1 species
UGAGCACGCGCAGUGCGUUUAGGAAGUUGUACGCAUACCCAACUGAAGCUUUCUUCCCUUCUCCAGUGGAGUGCACCUGCACAGAAACUCUCUCUGUACCACGUACCUGCUGCCAGAAGCUGGGAAGGAGUGGUGCUGGUGAUUCAAAACUGAUUUUCCUGCCUCUUCGAUGCCUCUUUUAGUGACAUACAGUUAAGACCAGGCACUGGUAUAACCAGGAGUUGCGAAGUGGUCGUAGUUGUUCAUGUCUCAAUCUGGAUCAUCUUUGCUUUUUGCUUCUGCUUUGUGCUAUCCCUCUUCCCGUACCUCAGUUCUAUCUGGAACCAUGAUCUGUGACUGCCAUGGAAAAGUGUUGGGCAGGAGGAGGCCAGCUGGGUCUUUGAAGUUGACAAUGGAGCCAGGAAUGAAAGCUGCACUUAGGAUGAGAAUUGCUUUCCCUGGAGCCAAGUCAGCAAAUGCAGUCUGGUUGUCAGAGCUGAGAGGCUUCACCAAGUCAAGUAGGGGAGGACAUCUUCACUCUGCAACUUGCCCUACUGAAUGCAGAAAGUACUGUCUACUUAGAUAAAGCCUACACUAAAAGGGAAUUGAAUCUCUGCAAAUAAGUAUGUGGAUCUAAUUUCUACCUUCCAGAUUAAAAGUAUAAU